UGUAGCCAUGCUACAUCGCUAUUUAUAAAAACAUAUAGUUGGUUACCGGUAAAGUUACAGCGUUUUAAAAGUAGUUGCGCUACUGAUAAAAGUAAAGUUAGUAGUGUCGCUAAUUGUAGUAAGCUAUCCCCAACACCGUGUACACUAAAAGGAAGUUACUUUGGAAAAAUUCAUUGACAGUCAAAGUAAUUUUGAGUCUAAGUAAACCCCUGUAUCCUUCAACAAGAAUAAGAAUAUGUUUCUUCUUUAGUACUAAGAACAUAAAUGUUACAUGCUAACUUGUUUUCGAAUAUAUGCGCAGGCACACUGACACGCCAAUCAAAAACAACACUUUCAUAGUGAAAACUGCUAGCGUACGUUGCAAUUCUUUCUAGAUAAACUAUCUUCCAUAAGAUAAAAAAAGAUUCCUUCAGGAGUAUAAAUGUCUUUUGUUGACUAUUGCCAUAGGCGUUUGCCACAUUCAAGUAUUAAAUGAGGAACCAAAUGUAGUUAUCCUACCGUGUUAAGUAUCUUUAAGUAUAUUAUAACAAAAGUUGUGCUGAAAUUAAAGGUCCACUGAGCAUGGAUGCUGAAAUACAGCAGAGUGUGGGAAGACAAACUCCUGGGCUAGACCCACAGGCUCCACCCAUGAGUUGGUGAAUUUAUGCUCUGUGGAUCUGCAGCAGCACUGCAUAAGCUGAGCACUGGCAGGUGGAGCAGCCUGAGGCCAAAAGGGGCAGCAGCACUGUGCAGGUCAUGUUUUGGCAAAAGGAGCAGCCUGAGGCCAUGAGGGGCAGCGGCUUUGUAUGGGCCACGUUUUGGCAGGAGGAGCAGCCUGAGGCC